rnacentral:rRNA from 1 species
UCCAUUCGACCCGUCUUGAAACACGGACCAAGGAGUCUAACAUGUGUGCGAGUCGGCGGGUUUGAAAACCUGUGAGGCACAAGGAAGCUGACGGGCGAGAUCCCCUCCCUUAGGGGGGUGCAUCGUGGACCGACCUUGAGCUUAUGUGAAGGGUUCGAGUACGAGCACACCUGUUGGGACCCGAAAGAUGGUGAACUAUGCUUGAGCAGGGCGAAGCCAGAGGAAACUCUGGUGGAGGCUCGUAGUGAUACUGACGUGCAAAUCGUUCGUCUGACUUGUGUAUAGGGGCGAAAGACUAAUCGAACCAUCCAGUAGCUGGUUUCCUCCGAAGUUUCCCUCAGGAUAGCUGGAGCUCACGCGUGAGUUUUUUCGGGUAAAGCAAAUGAUUAGAGGCAUCGGGGGCGUAACACCCUCGACCUAUUCUCAAACUUUAAAUAGGUAAGAGGGUGUGGCUGCUCCAUUGAGCCAUGCCCUGGAACCGAGACCUCCAAGUGGGCCAUUUUUGGUAAGCAGAACUGGCGAUGCGGGAUGAACCGAAAGUUGAGUUACGGUGCCAAAUUGCGCUAACCUAGAUCCCACAAAGGGUGUUGGUUGAUUAAGACAGCAGGACGGUGGUCAUGGAAGUCGAAAUCCGCUAAGGAGUGUGUAACAACUCACCUGCCGAAUCAACUAGCCCCGAAAAUGGAUGGCGCUGAAGCGCGCAACCUAUACUCGACCGUCGGAGCAAUUGCCUGGCUCCGAUGAGUAGGAGGACGCGGGGGUCGUUGAGAAACCUCGGGCGUGAGCUUGGGUGGAUCGGCCCCCGGUGCAGAUCUUGGUGGUAGUAGCAAAUAUUCAAAUGAAAACUUUGAAGACUGAAGUGGGGAAAGGGUCCAUGUGAACAGCACUUGGACAUGGGUUAGUCGAUCCUAAGAGAUGGGGAAGCCUUGUAUCAAGGGUGCACUCUGCACGAGCAUCGAAAGGGAAUCGGGGUAAUAUUCCCGAACCGCGACAUGGCGGCGGGCGGCAACGUUAGGAAAUCCGGAGACGUCGUCGGGGGCCCCGGGAAGAGUUAUCUUUUCUUUUUAACAGCUUGCCCACCCUGGAAUCGGUUCACCCGGAGAUAAGGUCCAGCAGCUGGAAGAGCACCGCACGUCUUGCGGUGUCCGGUGCGCCCUCGGCGGCCCUUGAAAAUCUGGAGGACCGAGUACCGUUCAUGCCCGGUCGUACUCAUAACCGCAUCAGGUCUCAAAGGUGAACAGCCUCUGGUCAAUAGAACAAUGUAGGUAAGGGAAGUCGGCAAAACGGAUCCGUAACUUCGGGAAAAGGAUUGGCUCUGAGGGCUAGGCCUAGGGGUCUGCGCCCUCAACUCGUGGGCUGUCGGCAGUCUGCCCGAGCUGCUCUCGCAGCGAGGGCGGGCAGUCGCGUGCCGAUUGGGCUACGGGCGUAGAAUGCCCCCUGCCGGGGGCUUUUCCCUAGGCGUCGAACAGUCGACUCAGAACUGGUACGGACAAGGGGAAUCCGACUGUUUAAUUAAAACAAAGUAUUGUGAUGGUCCCUGCGGAUGCUGACGCAAUGUGAUUUCUGCCCAGUGCUCUGAAUGUCAAAGUGAAGAAAUUCAACCAAGGGUGGGUAAACGACGGGAGUAACUAUGACUCUCUUAAGGUAGCCAAAUGCCUCAUCAUCUAAUUAGUGACGCGCAUGAAUGGAUUAACGAGAUUCCCACUGUCCCUAUGUACUAUCUAGCGAAACCACAACCAAGGGAACGGGCUUGGCCAAAUCAGCGGGGAAAGAAGACCCUGUUGAGCUUGACUCUAGUCCGACUUUAUGAAAUGACUUGAGAGGUGUAGAAUAAGUGGGAGUCAUUUUCGGCGCAAGUGAAAUACCACUACUUUUAAUGUUAUUUUACUUAUUCCGUGGGGCGGGUCGAUCCGGGCGGAAGACAUUGGCAGGUGGGGAGUUUGGCUGGGGCGGCACAUCUAUUAAAAGAUAACGCAGGUUUCCUAAGAUGAGCUCAAUGAGAACAAAAAUCUCGUGUGGAACAAAAGGGUAAAAGCUCAUUUGAUUUUGAUUUUCAGUACGAAUACAAACCGUGAAAGCGUGGCAUAUCAAUCCUUUAGAUUUUCGGAAUUUGAAGCUAGAGGUGUCAGAAAAGUUACCACAAGGAUAACUGGCUUGUGGCAGCCAAGCAUUCAUAGCGACGUUGCUUUUUGAUCCUUCGAUGUCGGUUCUUCCUAUCAUUGUGAAGCAGAAUUCACCAAGUGUUGGAUUGUUCACCCACCAAUAGGGAACAUGAGCUGGGUUUAGACCACCGUGAGAUAGGUUAGUUUUACCCUACUGAUGAACCGCACCGCAAUAGUAAUUCAACUUAGUACGAGAGGAACC